rnacentral:misc_RNA from 1 species
AGUACUGGAUUACACGAUUGAGUUGUUCAGGGUUCAGAUAGGAAAAACAUCUUGGGGACUAGAGAUAGAGGGAAUCGACAGAUGCGCAGCAGUAGCGCGCGGGAAACAGGACAUCACGAUUGCGUUGCAUGUCGUCGGCUGCGCAGCGGCGGCGCGGGGCUUAAGACCUGCUCUUGAAUGGGAUCGCCCUGAUGAUCACCUGGUGGUAGAUGGCAGCCAGGGCAGCGCCAACGAAGGGACCAACCCAGAAGAUCCAAUGGUCAUUCCAGGCAUGGUCCUUGUUGUAGAUGAUGGCAGCGCCAAGGCUCCUGGCUGGGUUGAUGCCAGUACCGGUGAUGGGGAUGGUGGCCAGGUGGACCA